rnacentral:rRNA from 1 species
CCUACGGGAGGCUGCAGUGGGGAAUAUUGGACAAUGGGGGGAACCCUGAUCCAGCCAUGCCGCGUGUGUGAAGAAGGCCCUCGGGUUGUAAAGCACUUUCAGUGAGGAAGAACGCCUGGUGGUUAAUACCCAUCAGGAAAGACAUCACUCACAGAAGAAGCACCGGCUAACUCCGUGCCAGCAGCCGCGGUAAUACGGAGGGUGCGAGCGUUAAUCGGAAUUACUGGGCGUAAAGCGCGCGUAGGUGGCUUGAUAAGCCGGUUGUGAAAGCCCCGGGCUCAACCUGGGAACGGCAUCCGGAACUGUCAAGCUAGAGGGCAGGAGAGGAAGGUAGAAUUCCCGGUGUAGCGGUGAAAUGCGUAGAGAUCGGGAGGAAUACCAGUGGCGAAGGCGGCCUUCUGGACUGACACUGACACUGAGGUGCGAAAGCGUGGGUAGCAAACAGGAUUAGAUACCCGAGUAGUC